ensembl:lncRNA
CUUACAACAUCAGUGUCACAGCCAGGACACAAUUUUUUAGGGCACCGACCCUAAGUGUAAGGGAAGGUCUUGUAAAAGAAGCAGAGGAUCUUCUGCAUCCUCUUGCUCCUCUCACCCCACUCAGGAUGAGCUCCACAAAUGAGGGACUCAUGACAGUUCAAGGGGAGGUGGUGGAGUUUUCUGCUGUAAAGAAGGUGCUGUCGGGAAAACAACAUGUUCCCCUUAAAAAUCUGCAGCUGAAGGAGGAUGGUUUUACCAUGGCAGUCUGCCUCUGGAGGGAGGCAGCUGUUAACAACUUCAACGUGGGAGACCACAUCAGCGUCUCUCACGUUAAGCAGAGACAGUCCUCUUAUGGCGUACAUCUUCAGAGUACAGCAUUUACAAAGAUUGAGACAAAAGUCGAGGACAGAGCUGACAUCGUCAUCAUUGGUGUGGC